rfam:Mannheimia haemolytica M42548, complete genome.
ACGGGUAUCCUAAGGUACCUAGGCUAUAUAAAGACUGUUAACUAUUCAAAUAGUUAGGGACAACCGCAAUCCUUAGUCUUUAGUUUUGCU